AAGGACAUAACACCGGCUAGUUUUGACCAAAGUCGUUAAUUGGUUCGCUUAAAACGUUAGCUACGGCAACAACGUUAGCAAACGUAGGUCCAAGAGACGUUGGCUCUGAAGACGAAGAGGAUGAUGGAGAAGAGGAGCGCACACCAGUGUUGGAGAGGACAUCUAUGAAAGUACAGAGGUCACCAAUGAUGAUCUCAGAGAGCUAAGAGACCUUGCACCUGAUGCAGCUAUCCUGACCAGUAUGGACCUCAGUGACACAGACUCUGCAUCCGAAUCGGACAAUGAAUCAACCCUAUCACAUCUGUUAAUGACAAACCUUUAAAGGGCCUCCCACUACAUGCUCUAAAGCUGUGUCAAGGUGUUUCAGAGGCUUAGAAACUGUUGAUCAAUGUGAAACCCUUGAGCUUACUACCAGGGAGCAGUCAAAAUGCAGGGCCUGGCACACACACAGAGAAGGUCGAAUAACAAGCACAAACUUCCACCAUUUGUGCAGAGCUGGAGAGCCUACAGACACCGACAUUAAAAACAACAUGUGAUAUGAGACAGAGGAUCUACAAGUUGUGGCCGUACUCUGAAAUGGAGGAUACAGCUAGAAAAUGCUACAUUGAAGAAAUCAGUAAAGGCCACUCUAAUUUCGCUGCUAAACUUUCUGGGCUUGUUGUUUGCCCAGCCCUCUUCAAUUUGGGUGCAUCCCCAGAUGAGGAUGUCAUAUUGUGAGAUAUGAAGACUUCCUGCCAAGAGCUGUGCCCACGGCUGAACAACUCUUCCUGAACCAUCUUCCGCCAGAGCUGCUGACCCCGUGCAUGGAUUCCAGCCUCUUAGAAGAACACACUCUGUACUGUCUACACUGUUACAGGCCAGACUAUAGCAAGAUGAUUCACUGUGCCAAGUGCAGAAGUCGUUUCAACUAUGAGUGUGUUGAGAUCAAACGAAGGCCAUCUACAUGGCUUUGCAAACAGUGCAAUACCGGAAAGGUAAUAAAGCUCUGGAUAUGAAUUGUGUAUAUUUAGUACUAAGAAUUUUGUAUAUAUAGUAGUAUGGAUUUUGUAUAUUUAGCAGUAUGAAUAGUAUGGGUUUUGAAUAUUUAGUAAUAUGAAAAGUAUGAAUUUUGUAUAUUUAGUAGUUUAAAUAGUAUGAAUUUUGUAUGUUUCCACCCGUCGUUUUCCUUUGAAAAAUGGUUACUAAAAACUGAAACAUUAAACAUGUACAUUUUAAAAGUUUAAUACGUUUGUCUACUCACACUGCAUAUGAGCAAUUACAUUCAUUGUUAAAGAAAAAAAAUACAGCCUGGUGAAUUUUGGAAUAAAAAAAUCUUCAUUUUUGAACAUGUUAAAAA